GGUCCCAUAGCUCAGUUGGUUAGAGCGUCGUACUAAUAUUGUUCUGUCUUGUAUAGGAAAAUGUUAAGUAAAUGCGAAGGCCGAGAGUUCAAGCCUCUCUGGGACCA